UACGUAGGGUGCGAGCGUUGUCCGGAAUUAUUGGGCGUAAAGAGCUCGUAGGCGGUUUGUCGCGUCUGCCGUGAAAGUCCGGGGCUCAACUCCGGAUCUGCGGUGGGUACGGGCAGACUAGAGUGAUGUAGGGGAGACUGGAAUUCCUGGUGUAGCGGUGAAAUGCGCAGAUAUCAGGAGGAACACCGAUGGAGAAGGCAGGUCUCUGGGCAUUAACUGACGCUGAGGAGCGAAAGCAUGGGGAGCGAACAGG
rnacentral:rRNA from 1 species